ACACUGAGGAGCGAAAGCGUGGGGAGCGAACAGGAUUAGAUACCCUGGUAGUCCACGCCGUAAACGGUGGGCACUAGUUGUGGGGACCUUCCACGGUCUCUGCGACGCAGCUAACGCAUUAAGUGCCCCGCCUGGGGAGUACGAUCGCAAGAUUAAAACUCAAAGGAAUUGACGGGGCCCCGCACAAGCAGCGGAGCAUGCGGCUUAAUUCGACGCAACGCGAAGAACCUUACCAAGGCUUGACAUAUACAGGAAUAUGGCAGAGAUGUCAUAGCCGCAAGGUCUGUAUACAGGUGGUGCAUGGUUGUCGUCAGCUCGUGUCGUGAGAUGUUGGGUUAAGUCCCGCAACGAGCGCAACCCUCGUUCUGUGUUGCCAGCAUUUAGUUGGGGACUCACAGGAGACUGCCGGGGUUAACUCGGAGGAAGGUGGGGAUGACGUCAAAUCAUCAUGCCCCUUAUGUCUUGGGCUGCACGCAUGCUACAAUGGCUGGUACAAACGGCUGCAAUACCGCAAGGUGGAGCGAAUCCGAGAAAGCCAGUCUCAGUUCGGAUUGGGGUCUGCAACUCGACCCCAUGAAGUCGGAGUUGCUAGUAAACGUAGAUCAGCAACGCUACGGUGAAUACGUUCCCGGGGCUUGUACACACCGCCCGUCACGUCACGAAAGUCGGUAACACCCGAAGUCAGUGGCCCAACCGCAAGGAGGGAGCUGCCGAAG
rnacentral:rRNA from 1 species